AGGGUUUGAUCAUGGCUCAGAUUGAACGCUGGCGGCAUGCCUUACACAUGCAAGUCGAACGGCAGCACGGGAGCAAUCCUGGUGGCGAGUGGCGAACGGGUGAGUAAUAUAUCGGAACGUGCCCAGUCGUGGGGGAUAACGUAGAGAAAUUUACGCUAAUACCGCAUACGAUCUACGGAUGAAAGCGGGGGACUCGCAAGAGCCUCGCGCGACUGGAGCGGCUGAUAUCAGAUUAGGUUGUUGGUGAGGUAAAAGCUCACCAAGCCGACGAUCUGUAGCUGGUUUGAGAGAACGACCAGCCACACUGGGACUGAGACACGGCCCAGACUCCUACGGGAGGCAGCAGUGGGGAAUUUUGGACAAUGGGCGCAAGCCUGAUCCAGCAAUGCCGCGUGCAGGAAGAAGGCCUUCGGGUUGUAAACUGCUUUUGUACGGAACGAAAAGGUCCUUUCUAAUACAAGGGGCUAAUGACGGUACCGUAAGAAUAAGCACCGGCUAACUACGUGCCAGCAGCCGCGGUAAUACGUAGGGUGCGAGCGUUAAUCGGAAUUACUGGGCGUAAAGCGUGCGCAGGCGGUUAUGUAAGACAGUUGUGAAAUCCCCGGGCUCAACCUGGGAAUUGCAUCUGUGACUGCAUAGCU
rnacentral:rRNA from 1 species